rnacentral:rRNA from 1 species
CUUGAACCUGAGAGUUUGAUCCUGGCUCAGAACGAACGCUGGCGGCAUGCCUAACACAUGCAAGUCGAACGAAGGCUUCGGCCUUAGUGGCGCACGGGUGAGUAACACGUGGGAACCUGCCUUUCGGUUCGGGAUAACGUCUGGAAACGGACGCUAACACCGGAUACGUCCCCCAGAGAGAUUUGGGCGGAGAAAGUUUACGCCGAGAGAGGGGCCCGCGUCCGAUUAGGUAGUUGGUGGGGUAAUGGCCCACCAAGCCGACGAUCGGUAGCUGGUCUGAGAGGAUGAUCAGCCACACUGGGACUGAGACACGGCCCAGACUCCUACGGGAGG